rnacentral:rRNA from 1 species
CACUCCUAGGGAGGCAGCAGUGGGGAAUUUUGGACAAUGGGCGAAAGCCUGAUCCAGCAAUGCCGCGUGUGUGAAGAAGGCCUUCGGGUUGUAAAGCACUUUUGUCCGGAAAGAAAUCCUUGGCUCUAAUACAGUCGGGGGAUGACGGUACCGGAAGAAUAAGCACCGGCUAACUACGUGCCAGCAGCCGCGGUAAUACGUAGGGUGCGAGCGUUAAUCGGAAUUACUGGGCGUAAAGCGUGCGCAGGCGGUUUGCUAAGACCGAUGUGAAAUCCCCGGGCUCAACCUGGGAACUGCAUUGGUGACUGGCAGGCUAGAGUAUGGCAGAGGGGGGUAGAAUUCCACGUGUAGCAGUGAAAUGCGUAGAGAUGUGGAGGAAUACCGAUGGCGAAGGCAGCCCCCUGGGCCAAUACUGACGCUCAUGCACGAAAGCGUGGGGAGCAAACAGGAUUAGAAACCCCAGUCCCAUGAU